rnacentral:rRNA from 1 species
GACGAACGCUGGCGGCGUGCCUAAUACAUGCAAGUCGAACGCACAGUUUAUACCGUAGCUUGCUACACCAUAGACUGUGAGUUGCGAACGGGUGAGUAACGCGUAGGUAACCUGCCUGGUAGCGGGGGAUAACUAUUGGAAACGAUAGCUAAUACCGCAUAAUAUUAAUUAUUGCAUGAUAAUUAAUUGAAAGGUGCAAUUGCACCACUACCAGAUGGACCUGCGUUGUAUUAGCUAGUAGGUGAGGUAACGGCUCACCUAGGCGACGAUACAUAGCCGACCUGAGAGGGUGAUCGGCCACACUGGGACUGAGACACGGCCCAGACUCCUACGGGAGGCAGCAGUAGGGAAUCUUCGGCAAUGGACGAAAGUCUGACCGAGCAACGCCGCGUGAGUGAAGAAGGUGUUCGGAUCGUAAAGCUCUGUUGUAAGAGAAGAACGGGUGUGAGAGUGGAAAGUUCACACUGUGACGGGAUCUUACCAGAAAGGGACGGCUAACUACGU